rnacentral:rRNA from 1 species
AUUGAACGCUGGCGGCAUGCUUUACACAUGCAAGUCGAACGGUAACAGGCCGCAAGGUGCUGACGAGUGGCGAACGGGUGAGUAAUGCAUCGGAACGUGCCCAGUCGUGGGGGAUAACGCAGCGAAAGCUGUGCUAAUACCGCAUACGAUCUAUGGAUGAAAGCGGGGGACCGUAAGGCCUCGCGCGAUUGGAGCGGCCGAUGCCAGAUUAGGUAGUUGGUGGGGUAAAGGCCCACCAAGCCAACGAUCUGUAGCUGGUCUGAGAGGACGACCAGCCACACUGGGACUGAGACACGGCCCAGACUCCUACGGGAGGCAGCAGUGGGGAAUUUUGGACAAUGGGCGCAAGCCUGAUCCAGCAAUGCCGCGUGCAGGAAGAAGGCCUUCGGGUUGUAAACUGCUUUUGUACGGAACGAAACGGUCUGGGUUAAUACCUCGGGCUAAUGACGGUACCGUAAGAAUAAGCACCGGCUAACUACGUGCCAGCAGCCGCAGUAACAC